CCAUUUGAGAGUUGAGAAUGAUUAUGUUCAAUCAGAUCAGCAAGCAUUUUACUAUAUAGAGAAGGCAGCUGAUCAGUUGCAUUCAGGUGCACUAUACCUUCUAGGUGCUGUAUUUCUGACUGGGGAUUGUGUAAAGAAAGACGUUGAUUCAGCAAUAUGGUGUUUCCAUAGAGCAUUACAAGAGGG